rnacentral:rRNA from 1 species
GACGAACGCUGGCGGCGUGCUUAACACAUGCAAGUCGAACGAUGAAGCCUAGCUUGCUAGGUGGAUUAGUGGCGAACGGGUGAGUAAUACGUGAGUAACCUACCUUUAACUCUGGGAUAAGCCCGGGAAACUGGGUCUAAUACCGGAUACGACCAAUCUCCGCAUGGGGUGUUGGUGGAAAGCGUUAUGUAGUGGUUAUAGAUGGGCUCGCGGCCUAUCAGCUUGUUGGUGAGGUAACGGCUCACCAAGGCGACGACGGGUAGCCGGCCUGAGAGGGUGACCGGCCACACUGGGACUGAGACACGGCCCAGACUCCUACGGGAGGCAGCAGUGGGGAAUAUUGCACAAUGGGCGCAAGCCUGAUGCAGCGACGCCGCGUGAGGGAUGACGGCCUUCGGGUUGUAAACCUCUGUUAGCAGGGAAGAAGAGAGAUUGACGGUACCUGCAGAGAAAGCGCCGGCUAACUACGUG